GGUAACCCAAUUAUAGUCCUGUACAAAGUAUACGGCGGUUCGAUCGCAUGAAUAAAAAUCUGGGGCUUGGGACCGAGAAAAGGCCGCGGGUUAGCCCUGUUUCCGGGCCCAAACUUUGACCAAAAUGUCGAACGCCGAACUGGAGAAACUGCAGAUGCAGCUCAGAAAGGAGAUACAGAGCCAUCAGAUUUUGGUGGCAAAAAUGAAGAACGACCCUCAGAAUACAGAACUAAAGAAGCAGUUGCAUGACCAACAAGCUAAAAUAACAACGUUGAGUGAAAAACAGAAAAAAGUUGUGGAGCAGCUACGAUCUGAUCUUGGUAUACAAAAAGAAGUGCCAGCAAAAAAUGAGCAGGUGACAUCCACCCCUCUCACCACAUCCCAGAAUCUCAACAUCCCAAACCGCGUCGUGCCCCCAACCGCGGUCACUAAGACGCCCCCAGGGGCACAGCGUGGGUCCUCCCAGCACCACCAGCACCAGUCCCCAACCACACCAACCCGGAUGUCCAUCUUGACCAACAAGCCCACCAUGGUGACCAUCAAGGUGCCUAAUGUAGCGAGCCGUUUGGCGCAGAGCAAGCACGCACCUACGGGUCAAUCACUACCAAAGGAACCUAGCAGCCCCAGUAACCUGUACAAGAAGCUUACUGCCUUACCAAGGCCCUCCAUGUCCAACCAAGGUGGUGCUAAGAACAAUGCAAGCAAAAAGCCCCUUUCUCCAGAGGAACAGAAACUAGAAUUUAUGGCUUCGCUAGGGCUGAUUACUCAAAAGACAGCAGAGCAGCUCAAGUGUAAAAGGUCCGAAAGGAAAAGACGGAGCACAGCCAACCCUCAGUUCUCCAACUACGACAGACAAGAAAUGGAGAGCCGGCAGUCAGCAACCCGGUUCCUUGCUGCAAACGGGUUUGGUCAAGAAAAACGGAAAAGAGGAAAGCUUCACAAAGGUUCGGAUGGUUCGAUGGACAACGCAGAGAAUAGUCUCAACGGUACACUCCAUAAACAGGAAGUCGAUAAGCACCGGGACCACUGCUCAACCUGUGGUCUGGCCACGGAUGAGCUCCUCAUGUGCGACACCUGUCCCCUGGUGUACCACCUGGGCUGCCUCGAUCCCCCUCUGACCGCCGUACCCCCCGGCAUGUGGAGUUGCCCGCAGUGCAAGUUAAAAGGUUCCCAGUCUGGGAAUUGGCACGGCACGCUAGCCAUCGUCCAUUCCUACGUCCAGCAUCGGACUGUGAAGGAAGAGGAAAAGCGUCGACUGCAGAGGCGAGCAUCGGAGCUGCAGUAUGAGAGGAUACAACUGGAGGAUAAGGCUAGACAACUCAACGAUGCAAUAGCUAAGCAAAUGCAAGCCAGAGACUGCCUGACGGACUCCUUCCGCAAGACAGAAAAGUCUAUCGUACAACUCCAGGGCUUCAUCUCACGCUUCCAGGUUUAACAGUAAACCCUCCCCCGGAACUGCAGUGGAAUGUUCCAACACUGUGCUGCUGCCCACCCAUGGAUUAGCCCAUUGAACCAAAUAAGGUACACCACGUGUUUGGUUUGUGUGGAACCUUAAUGCCUCUACUGGUACUGCCCCAGUACUGCAAUGGAAUGUUCUUGUGCUGCAAAGCACCGUGCUAGUGGAAUCUACCAUUUGUUAUUUUAGGUCAAUUCUUAAAUUUUGGUUUUUAAUUAGGGCAAUAUCUUUCAGAUAUGCAGUCCCCUCCCCCAUUACACCAACUAUUUUUGUUACUAGUGGUGCAUGAUGUUGGUCUCGACAGUACUAACAAUGCCACAUCCCUCGUUAGUCCAGUGGAAUAUUCAAUGAGCUCUCUGUGGCCUACCCAUGGGAUAUACCAUUUAUUAUAGCAGGGUGAAUGUGCAAUGUCAACAGUAUUGCCAAGAGGGGCUCAUAUGGUAUUUCUGCAUGUGAGAUACAUGUAUGUACAUGUACAUGUACUU
rnacentral:misc_RNA from 1 species